GAAAAAUAAAUGAAAUAUAGAAUACAAAAUAUCAAUAAAACUUAGAAUUGGUUUUUUAAAGGUCAACAAAAUUAACAAAUCUUUAGCUAGAUUAACCAAGACAAAAAAAGACUCAAAUAAAUAAAAUCAGAAAUAGAAGAGGUUAUAUUACAAUUGAUAGCACAGAAAUAAAAAGGCUAGUAAGAGACUACUAUGAACAACUACACACUAACAAAUUGGAUAACCUAAAGAAAUGAAUAAAUCCCUGAAACAUACAACCUACCAAGACUGAAUGAUGAAUAAACAGAAAAUCUGAACAGCCCCACAAUUAGUAAGGAGAUCAAAUUAAUAAUCAUAAUCUCCCAACAAAGAAGAGCUCAGAUGCUUUCACUGGAUAAUUCUACCAAAGAUUUAAAGAAGAAUUAAUGCCAGUCUUUCUCAAACUCUUCCAAAACAUUGAAGUGGGAAACCUGAAGCCAGAAUUACCCUGAUACCAAAGCCAAAGACUUUACGUUAAAGAAAACUACAAGUCAAUAUUCCUGAUGAACAUAGAUGCAAAAAUUCUCAACAAAAUGAUAGCAAACUGAAUUCAACAGCACAAUCAAAGGAUCAUACACUCUGAGUGGGAUUUAUCCCUCAGAUGGGAGAAUGGCUCAGCAUCUAAAAAUCAGUAAAUGUGAUACACAGCAUUAACAGGACAAAGGAUAAAAAUCAUACUGUCAUGUCAAUAGAUGCAGAUAAAGCAUUUGUCAAAAUUCAAACACCAUUUCAUGAUUAAAACAUUCAACAAACUAAGAAUAGAAGAAAAUUACCUCAACAAAAUUAAGGCCAUUAAUGAAAAUACCACAGCUAACAUCACCUGAAUAGUGCAAAACUAAAAGCUUUUCCUCUAAUCAGGAAGACAGCAAGGAUGCCCACUCUCACCACUUCUAUUCAACAUAGUACCAGAAGUCUUAGCUAGAGCAAUGAAUCAAGAAGAUAUAAACAUCACCCAAAUCAAAAAAGAAGUAAAAUUAUCUCAAUUUGCAGAUGACAUAAUCUUAUGUGUAGAAAACUCUAAAGAUUUCACCAAAAAUUUGUUAGCAAAUUCAGCAAAGUUGAAACAAAUUCAGUUGCAGAAUACAAAAUCAACAUAGAAAACCAUUUGUUUUUAUACACUAACAAUGACCUGUCCACAUGAAAAAGAAUGAAGUUGGACCCUUAUCUUAUAUCAUACACAAAGUUAACCCAAAAUCAAACUUAAACACUGAUACGUAAAACCUGAAAUUAUAAAACUCCUAAAAGAAAACACAAGAACUUUGCAACAUUGGUCUUGGCGACGAUUUCUUGGAUAUCGUUACCAAAAACAAGGCAACAAAAGCAAAAAUAGACAAGUGGGACUACAUCAAACCAAAAAGCUUCUGUGCAGCCAAAGAAACAAUCAACAGAAUAAAAAGGCAGCCUACAGAAUGGAAGAAAAUAUUUGCAAACCGUACAUUUGAUAAAAGGUUAAUAUCCAAAAUAUAUUAGGAACUCACACAACUCAAUAGCAAAAAAAAAAAAAAUGCAAAUAACCCAAUUUAAAAAUGAGCAAAGGACUUGAAAAGACAUUCCUCCAAAGAGACAUCUAAAAAGUCAAUUAUAUGAAAAAAUAUCCAACAUUACUGAUCAUCAGGGAAAUGCAAAUCAAAACCAUAAUGAGGUAUUACCUCAUACGUGCUAGAAUGGCCAUUAUCAAACACACACACACACACACACACACACACACACACCAGGAAAUACCAAGUGUUAACAAGAAUGUGAAGAAACUGAAACCCUUGUGCAUUGAUGGUAGGAAUGUAAAGUGGUGUAGCCACUACAGAAAACGGUAAGAAGGUUCCUCAGAAAAUUAAAACUGGUAUUAGCAUAUGACCCCGCAAUCCCACUUCUGGGUAUUCAUCCAAAAGCAUUGAAAUCAGGAUCUCAAAAAGAUACUUACACUUCCACGUUCACUGCAACAUUAUUCACAAUAGCCAAGAGUUAGAAACAAUCCAAAUGCACAUCAGUGGACAAAUGGAUAAAGAAAAUGUGGUAUAUACAUGCAAUGGAAUACUAUUCAGUCUUUAGAAAGAAGGAAAUCCUUUCAUAUGCCACAACAUAGAUGAACUUGGAGGACAUUAAGCUAAGUGAAAUGAGCCAGUCACAGAAGGAUAACUACUGCAUGAAUCCACUUACAGGAGGUAUCUAAAAUCGUCAAAUUCAUAGAAGCAAAAAGCAGAAUGGUGGUUGUGGGGGCUAGGGGAAGGGGAAAAUGGGAAGUUGCUGUUCAGUGGGCAUAGUUUCAGUCACACAAAACAAAAACUUCUAAAGGUCUGCUGUACAACAACUUGCAAAUAGCUAACAAUAUUGUAUUGUACACUGGAAAAUUUAUUAAUAGGGUAGAUCUCAUGUGUUUUUUAUCACAGCUCUUCUAAUGGGAAAAUGGGGAAAGGCAUGAGCAGAAAAUUCAUAAAAUUAGACCAAAAAAUGGCAAUUAAACAUAUGAAAAAUGUUUACCCUCACUCAUCAUUACAGAAAUGAAUUUCAAGUACACUCAGAUACUAUUUCUUUCCUGAAAAGUAAGAAAUUUGAAAAAAAAAAAAAACACUGUAACAACGCACUGAGCAAGGCCGUGGAGAAGCUUGCACUCUCAUACCUCGCUGAUCGAAAAGCAAACUGAUGGACAUUCCAGUUUUGCACAACCACAUCUCACCUGUUAGAGGAGAAUCUGGGAAUAUCUAAGGGGAACUUCAUAUGCACUUAUCUUUUGACCCAAGAAUCUCACUUCUAGGAAUCUACCCUGAAGACACACCUCCAACCAUAUGACAAUUCGUAUGUGCAGGUUUACUCAUUGCAGCAUUGCUUGUCAUUACAAGACACUGGAAACAGCCUAAAUGCACAUCCAUAGAAGAACAGUUGGGUAACCUAUGGUACACAGUGAAGUAUUAGGAAGCUCUCUUUGAAAUGACAUCGGGUAAUUUCCAGGAUAUGCUUUUAAUCACAAAAGGCAAUGCUCUUUGUACAGAGGAAAGCUGACCAUACCCUCCUUCCCAGAGGCAGGCAGCGCAAAUUGGAACUGGGAGGUGUUUUAACUCUAAUCAAAUUCAAAGUUUUGAUUAUUACACAAGAGUGGGUAUCUAAUUAUCAACUGAGACUUUGUCUUCUGACAAAGUAACUAUAGAAUUCUUUAUGAAUAAACAGAAGAAACCUAAAGUCUGGUGGAGUUUUCACCUAGACCAAGAGGGAAAUUUAUCUCACUAAAUAAAUUCUAAAGGGGGAAUGAGCUAUAACAUACAGUUUUGAUUGCAUCCCACCAGUUAUGCCUGUUCAGCAUAAAGUUACAAUCCACUGCUGAGUCAUGGUCACCAUAAGCAGUCAUUGCUCCCAAACAUGAGACAGAAGGCUAACCCAGCCCAUGGAUGAAAUGCUCUCCACAAGUGUACGUGAGAUGGACUUUAAAUAUUUCCUCCUCUUAAUUCAGGCCACCUUGGUGAUGUACUCUUGCUAUAGGUGUGGUUGGAGAGUUUUCUGGAAGCAUCUCUCUCACUGCUAUACUUCCACUGCUAUACCCUGAAUACAUAGAUUCCUAAAGGUUGACUUGCCAACAGCCAAGCUGAGCACUGACCUCAGAAAAGCAAUUCUUCCUUCCGGUUAUGCAUAAUCUGGGGAAGUGCCUUCCAAAGACAGAGAAAGAGGGCAGUGAUCCCUGAGACUGGCUGCAUGCAUGUCCAAAGAGCACAGGAGGAAAGGAAGAAGCACACACAAUAAGAAAAGAUCUUCCCCCGCAAAAGGAUCACAGUUUGUCUCCCUGCCAGGGAGGUGAGGAAACACAGGCCCUUUGAAGCUCAUCCACACCGCUCAGCACGAAGGCCUUGUUCUCAGGGGCCUGCUUCUCAAUGAGGCGGAUCUGCUUGAGG
rnacentral:lncRNA from 1 species